AUUCACUCCAAAAAUCCCGUACACUUCGUCAAAAAAUCCGGAAAAAAUCCAGAAAAAAUCCAUGAAAUCCUCAAAAUCCAUUGAAUCCAUCAAAAUCCAAAAAAUCCUUUAAAAACCACAGAAAUCCUUCAAAAAUCCACAGAAAUCCUUCAAAAUCCUUAAAAAAUCCACAAAAAAUAUAUGAAGUACUUGGUGUAAUUUACUCGUAAAGGUUCUUUGCCACGUUCAAAAUGGCGGACAGCGAAAGCUAAAUGCUUACCGUGAUCGCUGUCAUUAUAUUUCGUAAUUAUUGGACCACUCUACAUUUCCAUUUAUACGCUCGAGUAUACGCUAAGUUUUUUUAGCCUAUUACUACUAAAUAUGUGUUCUUGUUACAAUGACGUUAUGUUGUAAAAUAUAAUUACAAAACCAAAAGUUAUUCACCAUUGUCUUUUACUGCUUUUGAAAGAAUAAUGAACUUGUUUGAAUUUUAUACAAAUUGACUGCAUGCACAGCCUUCGUUAAUAGUUUCAGAAGGCUGUGGUCCUAGUCCCAGUCCUCUGCUCGACCCUGACGUCCUGGCAUAACGUUGACAUCGUACAACUUAAGAUUAUUUGUUCAAAACGUUACCUAGCUCUAUAACUCUAUAAUUAAUCCGAACAAAUCCGGAAAAUCCAAACAAAUCCGGAAAAUCCAACAGAUUUUCAAAAAUCCAGAAAAAAUCCGAACAAAUCCGGAAAAUCCAAACAAAUCCGGAAAAUCCAACAGAUUUUCAAAAAUCCAGAAAAAAUCAGAACAAAUCCGGAAAAUCCGAACAAAUCCGGAAAAUCCAGCAAAUUUUCUCUUCAAAAAUCCGCUAAAAAAUCCGGGAAAAAUCCGCUAAAUCCGCUAAAAAAUCCGCGGAUUUUUAAAAAUCCGAAAAUCCCGUACGCUUUUUUGGAGUGAAAUGCCCCUCGUA